rnacentral:lncRNA from 1 species
GUAUGUUGUAAGCUAGUCUUCAUCUGCUACUUGAAGGAAACUACCUGCCAAAUAAAGCUCAUAUUCUUCAUAUGUUGUCCAAUCAAACAAAAUUUCCAAGUUAUCCUUGCUUCUACUUUCAUCAUUUGAACUUUUUUUUUCUUUUUUGGUCUCUUUUUUUUUCCUUCAGACUGCAGAGAAGGAAGAAUUUGAACAUCAGCAGAAGGAGCUGGAGAAAGUCUGCAAUCUCAUCAUUACCAAGAUGUACCAGAGUGCAGAUGGCAUGCCUGGAGGCAUGCCUGGGGGCUUCCCUGGUGGGGGAGCUCCUCCUUCUGGUGGUGCUUCCUCAGGGCCUACCAUUGAAGAGGUUGAUUAACCCAACCCUAAGUAUAGAUUUAUUUAGCAUUGUUCCACACAAUAAAACAUUGAAGGACCUAAAUUUGUAGCAAAUUCUGUGGCAGUUGUUAAAGUUUAACUGCUACAGUAAAGUACUGGGCAUUCUCAAUACUUGAACAUGGAACAUGUGCACAGGGAAAAGAUAACAUUGCACUUUAUAAGCACUGUAUUAUAAGUGGAAAUGCAAUGUCUUCAAUAAAAGUAUUUAAAAUUGGCACCAAAAACAAAAAGUUGACAAAGUCCUAAUAGUUCCAACACUACUGAAAAGUCUGAGUCCAAAAUUCUCCUCUGAGACCUAAGGCAAACUUAGC